CUAAUGGAUUCUACAUGUAACCCCCAAGGAGAUUACCUAGAUUCCUGGGGCUCUGUCUGCUGGCAGCUCAGGGAGAGGCACACUGUCCCUGGUAGGGAGGGGGAGCCAAGACAAACUCAGAGUCUGCCCGGCACCUAAUAGGGAGUGAGAUGCCUCUCCCAGGCAGUUCAGGAAAGGGGAGAAGCCACAUUUGAGUUAGUCUGGAGCCAGCCAGGGCAAGGGCAGGACUGGCUCUGUGGGGAGCUGAUGAGUCCCAGGGCUGCAUGCAGGGCUCCCCCAGAGAAAUGGCCUCAAGGGACCUGAAAGCAAAAUUCCUCAGCUAGGCUUUUCCUUCUCCCCUG